GAUGAACGCUGGCGGCGUGCCUAAUACAUGCAAGUCGAACGCAUUGUGGUUGAAAUGAUAUGAAGAACUUGUUCAGAUUUGAUUUUCAACAUUGCAAUGAGUGGCGAACGGGUGAGUAACACGUGGGAAACCUACCUCUUAGCAGGGGAUAACAUUUGGAAACAAAUGCUAAUACCGUAUAAUAAUUAAAACCGCAUGGUUUUAGUUUAAAAGAUGGUCUUGCUAUCACUAAGAGAUGGUCCCGCGGUGUAUUAGUUAGUUGGUGAGGUAAUGGCUCACCAAGACAAUGAUACAUAGCCGAGUUGAGAGACUGACCGGCCACAAUGGGACUGAGACACGGCCCAUACUCCUAACGGGA
rnacentral:rRNA from 1 species